UCAAACUUGGUCAUUUAGAGGAAGUAAAAGUCGUAACAAGGUUUCCGUAGGUGAACCUGCGGAAGGAUCAUUCGAAAAAGAGUGCCGGAAACGGUGUUCUCUGGCAAGCCCACUUCUGUGGGGUGGCUUUUGUGUGCAACUGUUAAAGACACGCUUUGUCUUUUUUUUUAAUCCAAAGAGCUGAGAAUGGCUCGAAAUGCCUGAAAAUUACAAGAAUGGAAAAUUCAUAAACACAACUUUCAACAACGGAUCUCUUGGCUCUCACAUCGAUGAAGAACGCAGC
rnacentral:misc_RNA from 1 species